AUAUUUCAACAAACUGGUUUUUACUUUUAGAAAAGGGAAAUAAAAUGCGCAAUACACUAAAAUUGAAUAUUCUAUUUAUUUAUUAUUUUUUGCGUUUGUGAAGGAUAAAUGAAAGUUAUAAAAUGAUUUGAAAGACGUUCAAUCCUACUUCCGGGGAAAGUACAAAAGAAGAAGAACUCGCAUUGUUUUGUUUUCGUCUGAGGAAGCUAACACUGCCAAGCUGCAGAGCUCAUCCUGUUAAAACACUCGAAUGUUUGAUUAAUCCGUAUAAAUUCUUCGGAUGAUCUCGAACCGGUUUUCUCUACACAUGUAUUUUUUUAAUUAUUAUUAUUAGCAUCGUCUCCGUAAUUGUUUAUUGCGUUCGGAAAGCUACUUCGUUAGAUAAACAAGCUAGUUAGCCGAGUGUAAGGCUAAUACGCCUGGAUUAGCAUUGUUCGUUUAUUAAUGUACGUUACUGCAUGUCGAGUAUUGCUCCAGAAAUCUUCCCUCGGUGUGUUUUUAAUACUUAUACCACGUUUAACACUUUUAGUCUUUCAUAACAAUUGAGGUUUUUGUUUUCCAGAUACAAGAUAUAAGAGAUCAUCAGGAUGGUGUGUGAGCUGCUUCUGUCAUCAGUCUGGCUGCUGUUUGUAGUUUUCUGGGUGGAGACCAUCAGCGUGUGGCUGUUCCUCUGUCUCUUCUAUCAGGACAGAGCUUUCUAUCACUGGGGUGACGGGGCGUUUGCUGAUGAUCCUGGUCAGAUGCUCUACAUGCUGAGCAGGUCGGAUCGCUCCGUUCACACCCAGACCUGAGCUCGCGGCCUCGUCGUCAGCUGGGAACGCCAAUCAACCAAACAGCUGGGGAGGAAAAUGGCUUCCCGUCCGACUGCUGCCGCCUUUCAACAAUCUACGCCGUGUCCAGCACUGGAGAAUUAGCACGGAGCUCGCGACCGAGCGCAGAUUCUGUGUUGGUUGUUAUAAAGGGAACUUGUAUCACAUUUCUCGCUUUGUCUCCUCUAAAAGGAGUUUCUCUUCUCAAAAAAAAAACCAAAAAACAAAAAAACACCCUCCCGGCAGCUCGGUGUAGCGAAGACGCUAAAACGUAUAUCAUCUGUCUGACUCUGAUUUUUAAGCUCGUGUUCCUGGUGCCUGUGAUUGAAGCAAAUAUUUCUAUUUUAAUGUCCUCACUUUACAUCGUCUCGUUUAAGCGCGUGCUUCAUAUCACAACGACUUGCUGUGGUUUACGAUAUUAUCGUGACCGUUUUGGUCUGCUGUGUAUUUCAGACUGUCCAGUGGGAUGUGAGGUUUUCAGGAGACGAAGACAUUGAAUAUUUACGUAACUUUUUUUUUUUUUUUUUUUUUUUUUAAAUAAUUUUAGCAGUGAUCACUACGACAUGCAGCCUUAAACGCGAAGUUAAGAGAUUUAGGUGAACGAUACACAAUCACGUACACAACGUAACUGUGAAUGUACCCACAAAGAUGCAAGAGGACUCCUUAAAAUCCAGUAAUAAACCUUAAUAACAUUCCUCUAUCUAAAGGGACGAACACACACUCUUGUGUGACCCUGGUGACCGAUGUUUGCACUAGUGCUAUAUAAUAAUCGCAAUUUUAAAAUACAUAUGUUUGUUUUAUGCUUAAUUUGUUAGUUUGCAUCUUUUAGUGAUGUCCUUUGCAAAAAUUAAAAAGUCAGCUCUUUGAUUCAGCUCUUUUAGGUUAAUGUCAGGAGUCAAUUUACUCGUAAACUUUAUUUUUUAUUUAUUUAAUUUUUUUUUUUUUUAAACAUACAGGUAAUUUGGAUGUUCCAUUCAUUAAAAUAAAUCUUUGUGAUCAGACAGUGCCACAAUAACAUUAAAGCAGCAAUGCUUAC